ACAGCAGUAGCCACGGUAAUACGGAGGGGGCUAGCGUUGUUCGGAAUUACUGGGCGUAAAGCGUGCGCAGGCGGUUCGUUAAGACAGAUGUGAAAUCCCCGGGCUUAACCUGGGAACUGCAUCCGUGACUGGCGAGCUAGAGUAUGGCAGAGGGGGGUAGAAUUCCACGUGUAGCAGUGAAAUGCGUAGAGAUGUGGAGGAAUACCGAUGGCGAAGGCAGCCCCCUGGGCCAAUACUGACGCUCAUGCACGAAAGCGUGGGGAGCAAACAGGAUUAGAUACCCCAGUAGUCCCUGUCUCUUAUAC
rnacentral:rRNA from 1 species